GUCAGCAGAGGUGGUGGGAGUGGGGGGCGAAGCACAGAGUCUAGAGCCCAGCCUCCCCCAUCCAAGGCUCAGCUCGGAUGUGUGUCCCCUCACGCCUCGCCCGCGGGAACUGUGGCUCCUCCUUUAGCUGACCACAGUGGUGGGCAUUGGCUGCAGGAGGUCCCUGAGAAAGCCCUCCAGUGUGGUCCAGGAGGGAGAUAGGGCCUGGGGAUCUGUCUGAUGCUCCGCUUUAGUGUGGAUACAUUGAUCAGAUGUGUUCCCUGGCAUCCUGGAGGGUUCGAAAGCCUGUUCUGAAGGGAUUCAGCACAGGCACGUGCCUAUCUCAGCACCUUCACAGCAGAGAGCGAAUCUCUGCAUCCAGUUACCCCAGAGACACAUCUGGACACCUCCCCGCAACAAAGCCCCCAAGACCUUCCAGAAGAGGAGCUGUGUCCAAGAGCCCCCUUCCUGUUAUGGGAAGUGCACUAUCUUCUGACCCUCAUAUCUGUUGCCUCUAUUUGUUGCUCUCUCAUAAACCAAUCCAAAUGGAGGGCAUCUGUAUUGCCAAAGGGAUUGGUCACUCAGCUUCGUCGGAUGCAAGAAAAGAUUCUGAGGGUAGGGACGGGCAUCGGUCUUGCUGACUGCCCUCUCUGCAGCUGUCAGGACUGGGCUUAGCAUGUAGUAGGUGGCCCAUAAAUAUUUGUUGAAUGAACACAUAUCGUCGGGAAAAAGGAGGUUGUUGUAAGGACACGCAGAAGAACCAGAACUGGAACUGGAAGUCAGAGCGGAAGUGGCCCCAGGGACCAAACAUGUUAGGACUUCCUCACCUCCUUGGGACAUGGUUAUGAAGAUGAGAGUAAAUGACACGUCACUUCCGGACAGAAUCUUUCAGAGUCAACUUGCAAUUCACGAUGUCCCUGUCUCUGCCUUAAUCAUAGUGGAAGCACCUGCUGAGAUGGAAGUUUCCUCAGCCUGGUCUCUGAGGGUCUAUGAUGAGCAGUCUUCCCUAGUAUCCGCUUUGGAGAAAUAGAUCUUAACUGAAUUAAGAUACUGAGGUUUGGCAUUAUUUAUUUAUGUAUCUAUUUAUUUACUUGUAACAUCUUUGUUAGAUUUUGGUAUCUGGUUAUUGCUAGCCUCCUCAAACAAACUGAGAAGAGUUCUUUCCUGCUCUAUUUUCUGAAAGAAUUUGCUUAAGAUUUGUGUAACUUCUUUCUCAAAUGUUUGAUAGAAUUCACCAGGGAAACUAUCUGGGCUAGGAGCUUCCUUCCUCUUUCUUUCUUCUUUGUCUCUCUUUCUGUCUUUUCUUUCUUUUCAAAAGCUCUACUUAUAUAGCAUUGACAUUUAAAAAUUGUACAUAUUUAAGCUGUACAACUUGAUUUAACUCUAAACAAUAGUUUUAUUUAAAUAAUAUUUUUUAUUAUACUUUAAGUUCUGGGAUAUAUGUGCAGAAUGUGCAGGUUUGUUACAUAGGUAUACAUAGGUUUGUUACAUAUGUGCCAUGGAGGUUUGCUGCACCCAUCAACCUGUCAUCUACAUUAGGUAUUUCUCCUCAUGCUAUCACUCCCCUAGCCCCCCAUCCCCCAACUUGAUGUUUUGAUAUAGAUUGUGAAAUGAUCACAACACAGCCAAUUAAAUAUCUACCUCUUCUACAUAGUUACCCUUUGUGUGUACGUUGAAAAGAUUUACGAUCUAUCAUCUUCUGAAGUUUUCUUUGUGGGAAAUGUUCUGAUAAUGAAUUCAAUUUCUUUAAUAGAUGGAACUAUUUAGAUUUUGGAUUUCAUUUUGUAAUCUUAUCAAGCCAUUUUGCCCGUCUCAGUUGCCAAAUUUAUUGGCAUAAAGUUGUUCAUAAUAUUUUCUUAUUACCUUUUAAUGCCUGUGGGCUCUGUGGUGAUAUUGAUGCAGGAUUUUUUUCGGCCCCUUUGCCGAACUUGUGGCAGGGGCGCCCCAUCUAUUUGGCUCACUGCGCUCAGCCCCUUGAGGGAGGGAGCAUGUGAGAGAGUGAGUGCAGGAUCUGGCUCGCUGCAGGAUCUGGCUUGCCACAGGAGCAAGCUCUGUUUGGGGGGCCUGUGGCCAGACCAGGUGUGUCACCUUGAGGGGAACAGUGACACCCAGGUGAGGUUGCCCAUGACCCCGAGGCCCCAAAGGGGGUGUGUUAUAGUAGUCUUUUAGUUCCACUGUCCAUGGUCUGAUGGACAGUGGUGUGUUAGCAGCUUAGUUGGCCCCUUGCCUCGUCAUGUGGGGUAGCUGCCCUCCGCUGCUGAGGGCAAAGGGCCAUUGUGACAGCCUUUUCUGGGUACCUGCACUUGGUGGGUCCUGAGGUCUUAUCCAGCAUCCAGGAAGAAACUCUUCCAUCACCUGCAUGACCUCAUUCUGCCUGGAUGCUGGACAAGAGCUUGGGACCCAAUGAGUGGGUGAAGACAGAGCAUUUUAUUGAGUGACGGAAACAGCUCUCAGUGGAGAGGGGAGCUGGAGAGGGGAUGGGAAGGGAAGGUUGUCUUCCCCAAAGUCAGGUUGUCUCUUCCUCGAAGUCAGGCCAUCUCCCCUUCUACUGACUGAGUCUUUAUAGGCACAGGAUGGGGAGUGUGUGCUGAUUGGUUUGUGAGUAUGCAAAGAAGGUUAAAAUUAAGAGAUCACUCAAAGGUGGGCAUGACAGUGUAGAAAACCAAUUAGGAAAGGGUAGGUAUAUGUAAAAUAGGUGAAAGGUGGGGAUCAAUCAGAGGAAGGCACACCAAACAGGAGGACAAAUUCUUAAUCCAGUCCAAGGAUUUAACUUGUAGUUUGGCUUUCAGGCUUUAAACUGUCUUUGGUUUGGAGGUGGGGCUUCACCAGGGACCUGCUCCUGUCUGCCGAGGCAUUUGACUGCCUCCUGUUACUAUCAAUAUCUCCUUUCAUUCCCUAAAUUUAUAAUUUGCAUGCUGUCUCUUUAAUCAACCUAGCCAGCUAGGAGUUUAUAAAUUUCGUUGAUAUUUUCAAUGAACCAGCUUUUGGCUUUGUUAAUUUUCUCUUCUUAUAUGUUUUCUGCUUCACAAAUAUUGACUGUUUUUUUAUUAUUUUUUCCUUUCUUCUACUUAAAGUUUACUUUGCUCUUUUUUAUCCUAGCUUUUUGAAGUGGAACCUUAGAUCCUUACUUUUACAUCUUUCUUCUUUCCUAAUAAAGCUAAAUAUUUUCCUUUAAGCACUCCUUUAGUUGUAAAUCACAAAUUUUGAUAGAUUAUACUUUUAUUUAUUGUUCAGUGCAAAAUAAUUUUUAAUUACUCAUUUUCUUUGUGACUUAUUCUUCUACCCAUGGGUUAUCUGGAAGUGUGUAUUUAAUUUCCAAAUAUUUGGGUUGUGCCAGAUAUCUUAC
rnacentral:lncRNA from 1 species